UUAAGUUCAGCGGGUAUUCCUACCUGAUCCGAGGUCAACGUUCAGAAAUUGGGUUGUUUUGAGGCGUGGCCACGUCGGGGUUCCGGUGCGAGGUGAAAUUACUACGCAGAGGUCGCCGCGGACGGACCGCCACUCCAUUUCGGGGUCGGCGUAUGCUGCCGGUCCCCAACACCGUGCUCCCCGAAGGGUGCGCGAGGGUU
rnacentral:misc_RNA from 1 species